GACGAACUCUGGCGGCGUGCUUAACACAUGCAAGUCGAACGGAAAGGCCCUGCUUUUGUGGGGUGCUCGAGUGGCGAACGGGUGAGUAACACGUGAGUAACCUGCCCUUGACUUUGGGAUAACUUCAGGAAACUGGGGCUAAUACCGGAUAGGAGCUCCUGCUGCGGGGUGGGGGUUGGAAAGUUUCGGCGGUUGGGGAUGGACUCGCGGCUUAUCAGCUUGUUGGUGGGGUAGUGGCUUACCAAGGCUUUGACGGGUAGCCGGCCUGAGAGGGUGACCGGCCACAUUGGGACUGAGAUACGGCCCAGACUCCUACGGGAGGCAGCAGUGGGGAAUAUUGCACAAUGGGCGGAAGCCUGAUGCAGCAACGCCGCGUGCGGGAUGACGGCGCUGGGGGGUGUAAACCGCUUUCGCCUGUGACGAAGCGUGAGUGACGGUAAUGGGUAAAGAAAGCACCGGCUAACUACCUGCCAGCAGCCGCGGUGAUACGUAAGGGGGCGAGCGUUGUCCGGAAUUAUUGGGCGUAAAGGGCUCGUAGGUGGUUGAUCGCGUCGGAAGUGAAUCUUGGGGCUUAACCCUGAGCGUGCUUUCGAUACGGGUUGACUUGAGGAAGGUAGGGGAGAAUGGAAUUCCUGGUGGAGCGGUGGAAUGCGCAGAUAUCAGGAGGAACACCAGUGGCGAAGGCGGUUCUCUGGGCCUUUCCUGACGCUGAGGAGCGAAAGCGUGGGGAGCGAACAGGCUUAGAUACCCUGGUAGUCCACGCUGUAAACGGUGGGUACUAGGUGUGGGGUCCAUUCCACGGGUUCCGUGCCGUAGCUAACGCUUUAAGUACCCCGCCUGGGGAGUACGGCCGCAAGGCUAAAACUCAAAGGAAUUGACGGGGCCCCGCACAAGCGGCGGAGCAUGCGGAUUAAUUCGAUGCAACGCGUAGAACCUUACCUGGGUUUGACAUGGAUCGGGAGUGCUCAGAGAUGGGUGUGCCUCUUUUGGGGUCGGUUCACAGGUGGUGCAUGGCUGUCGUCAGCUCGUGUCGUGAGAUGUUGGGUUAAGUCCCGCAACGAGCGCAACCCUUGUUCACUGUUGCCAGCACGUUAUGGUGGGGACUCAGUGGAGACCGCCGGGGUCAACUCGGAGGAAGGUGGGGAUGACGUCAAGUCAUCAUGCCCCUUAUGUCCAGGGCUUCACGCAUGCUACAAUGGCUGGUACAGAGAGUGGCGAGCCUGUGAGGGUGAGCGAAUCUCGGAAAGCCGGUCUCAGUUCGGAUUGGGGUCUGCAACUCGACCUCAUGAAGUCGGAGUCGCUAGUAAUCGCAGAUCAGCAACGCUGCGGUGAAUACGUUCCCGGGGCU
rnacentral:rRNA from 1 species